UACGUAGGGUGCAGGCGUUAAUCGGAAUUACUGGGCGUAAAGCGUGCGCAGGCGGUUAUUUAAGUCAGGUGUGAAAGCCCUGGGCUUAACCUAGGAAUUGCGCUUGAGACUGGAUGAGCUUGGAGUGCGGCAGAGGGAGGUGGAAUUCCACGUGUAGCAGUGAAAUGCGUAGAUAUCGCUUGGAACGCCGAAGGUGAAAACAGGCUGCUGGGGUUGCGGCCGACGCUGAGACACGAAGCCAGGGAGCAAACGGGAUUAGAAACCCGUUGGUAG
rnacentral:rRNA from 1 species